GGACAACGAUCCCCAACCAUGUUCCAUGUAAACAACCACAAUGUUGGUGUUCUGAUAAUAUGAUGCUGGUUUCGAUUAUUGUAACAUGAUAACCAGAAAUAAGGUGAACAAAACAGAGGGUGCAGCAAAACUCUAUGAAGAAGAAAAUAUUGUUUUUGUGUCCCUUGAUUUCCACUAGUUUUCUCAGUGAUAUUUUAUAGUUUUCAUAUGAUUGUUUAGCAGUUCUCGUAAAAAAAAACAAAAAACCUUAGGGUGAUAACCCAAUGGAGCGCUUUGAGAUUUCAAUAUGGAUGAGAAUAUUUUAAAUUCGAAGUGUUAGAAAUUUGUUACAUGUAAAAGAAUUGAAAUUUUUAAAACACCCAUCUGGGUUCGAACUCAUGACUUGUAGAUAACUGCUGGAUGCAGUUUACUCAGUCAUUCAUGUUGAAGAAAAGAAAUAAAAAGUUUUAAAAAUU
rnacentral:misc_RNA from 1 species